rnacentral:rRNA from 1 species
ACGUGGCAUACGGCUCAGUAACACGUAGUCAACAUGCCCAGGGGACGUGGAUAACCUCGGGAAACUGAGGAUAAACCGCGAUAGGCCAUGAUUUCUGGAAUGGUUCAUGGCCGAAAUCUAUAUGGCCCCUGGAUUGGACUGCGGCCGAUCAGGCUGUUGGUGAGGUAAUGGCCCACCAAACCUGUAACCGGUACGGGCUCUGAGAGGAGGAGCCCGGAGAUGGGCACUGAGACAAGGGCCCAGGCCCUAUGGGGCGCAGCAGGCGCGAAAUCUCUGCAAUAGGCGAAAGCUUGACAGGGUUACUCUGAGUGGUUCCCGUUAAGGGGAUCUUUUGGCACCUUUAAAAAUGGUGCAGAAUAAGGGGUGGGCAAGUCUGGUGUCAGCCGCCGCGGUAAUACCAGCACCCCGAGUGGUCGGGACGAUUAUUGGGCCUAAAGCAUCCGUAGCCGGUACUGCAAGUCUUCCGUUAAAUCCACCUGCUUAACAGUUGGGCUGCGGGGGAUACUACAGCGCUAGGAGGCGGGAGAGGCAAGCGGUACUCAAUGGGUAGGGGUAAAAUCCGCUGAUCCAUUGAAGACCACCAGUGGCGAAGGCGGCUUGCCAGAACGCGCUCGACGGUGAGGGAUGAAAGCUGGGGGAGCAAACCGGAUUAGAUACCCGGGUAGUCCCAGCUGUAAACGAUGCAGCUCGGUGAAUGGGCUGGCCUUGUGCCAGCCCAGUGCCGCAGGGAAGCCGUUAAGUCUGCCGCCUGGGGAGUACGGUCGCAAGACUGAAACUUAAAGGAAUUGGCGGGGGAGCACCACAAGGGGUGAAGCCUGCGGUUCAAUUGGAUUCAACGCCGGG